AGAACGAACGCUGGCGGCAUGCCUAAUACAUGCAAGUCGAACGAACUCUUCGGAGUUAGUGGCGCACGGGUGCGUAACGCGUGGGAAUCUGCCCCUUGGUUCGGAAUAACAGUUGGAAACGACUGCUAAUACCGGAUGAUGACGAAAGUCCAAAGAUUUAUCGCCAAGGGAUGAGCCCGCGUAGGAUUAGCUAGUUGGUGAGGUAAAGGCUCACCAAGGCAACGAUCCUUAGCUGGUCUGAGAGGAUGAUCAGCCACACUGGACUGAGACACGGCCCAGACUCCGUACGGGAGGCAGCGAGUAGGGAAUAGUGGACAAGUGGGACGAAAGCCUAGAUCCGAGCAAUGCCGACGUGAGUGAUGAAGCUUAGGUGUAAGCUCUUUACCGAGAUGAUAAUGACAGUA
rnacentral:rRNA from 1 species